rnacentral:rRNA from 1 species
GAUGAACGCUGGCGGCGUGCCUAAUACAUGCAAGUCGAGCGAACGGACGAGAAGCUUGCUUCUCUGAUGUUAGCGGCGGACGGGUGAGUAACACGUGGAUAACCUACCUAUAAGACUGGGAUAACUUCGGGAAACCGGAGCUAAUACCGGAUAAUAUUUUGAACCGCAUGGUUCAAAAGUGAAAGACGGUCUUGCUGUCACUUAUAGAUGGAUCCGCGCUGCAUUAGCUAGUUGGUAAGGUAACGGCUUACCAAGGCAACGAUGCAUAGCCGACCUGAGAGGGUGAUCGGCCACACGGGAACUGAGACACGGUCCAGACUCCUACGGGAGGCAGCAGUAGGGAAUCUUCCGCAAUGGGGGAAAGCAUGACGGAGCAACGCCGCGUGAGUGAUGAAGGUCUUCGGAUCGUAAAACUCUGUUAUUAGGGAAGAACAUAUGUGUAAGUAGCUGUGCACAUAUUGACGGUACCUAAUUAGAAAGCCACGGCUAACUACGUG